AUGAGAGAAUGGCGAAGCAGCUACCAGAGAGUUCUUCAGGAGGAGAGAUGAGUGGAGGAAGCAUCCUAGGUUCAGCAAUUAGCCCAGCCAUGCCUUUCUCGAUUUUGGCCUUGGAGUCCCUUCAUCGACGUCGACCUAAUUGGCAAGUAGAUCUACAGCAAACUCUUUGGUCCUUCCUCCUCCUCCUCUUCUGGGUAUGCUUUUAAUGGUGUGGUCUUUCUUGGGUUUUUCAAGAAAUCUUCAAAAUGGAAAAAUACAAUUAGAAUCCUAUCAUUGGAACCCUAGCUUGGUUUUUGUCAUAGAGACUUGCCAAAUGGAAGUUUAUUUUGGAAGCCACAGCUGGAGGAAUCAUCCAUGGUGAAGUAUUCAAGAGGGCCUAAUCCUACCAACUCCUGCAAAGCCAGGGGAUCAGACCUAUGAGUUCAUUUUAAGGAUUGCUACAUUGACGUCUACUCCCCAGAGUGUCUUUAUGAGUCUUUGAGGAAGAAGCUGGAUAUUUUCAGUUUGCUACAGCAAUAACAUCGAAUGAUAUUGAUGAAAUAUAGAAGUUUCUUGAUGCUGCUAUUGAUGCAAGGUAUUCACUUUUUAGCUUUUAGUAAAUUAGUUAUUCUAGUCCCCUUGAUGACAACCCAAAUAGCAAUGACCUCUUCUUUUUACCCCCAAGUCCAGGUGGUUAGGCCUAGAGCAUUGGAGGAAAAAAAAAAAAAAAGGGAUAUUCCAAACAUGAUGUACUGGAUGAAACAAUUUUAAUUAUGUAAAUAUGUUAAUCCUGCAUUUGGAUGGCAUAAGUGAUGCUAAUUGUGUAGAAGUUCUUUUCACCAAUGAUGAGAACCACAGACGAAUUUAUGUUGUUUGUAUUAGCUUCUCUGAAUUACAUUUAGUCUAGAAUAUUUGUAAUUAAUUUUUCACUGCUAGUUGCAUCUUAGUGUAUAAUUAUUAUUUUUUUCCCACAGACUUUAUCAUUGAUUUAUUGUACUAUUUAUAAUCUUAAUUAAUCGUAGUUUACAGU